ensembl:rRNA 5S_rRNA 5S ribosomal RNA
GUCUAUGGCCAUAUCACCCUGAAAGCGCCCCAUCUCAUCUGAUCUCAGAUGCUAAGCAGGGUGGGGCCUGGUUACUACUUGGAUGGGAGACAAGAGACCCAACUAUAGCCU